rnacentral:rRNA from 1 species
CACGUAGGGGGCAAGCGUUGUCCGGAUUCAUUGGGCGGAAAGAGCUCGUAGGCGGUUCGAUAAGUCGGGUGUGAAACCUCCAGGCUCAACCUGGAGACGCCACCCGAUACUGUCGUGACUAGAGUCCAGUAGGGGAGCGUGGAAUUCCUGGUGUAGCGGUGAAAUGCGCAGAUAUCAGGAGGAACACCAGCGGCGAAGGCGGCGCUCUGGGCUGGAACUGACGCUGAGGAGCGAAAGCGUGGGGAGCGAACAGG